GGUUUUAUAGUGUAUAAAUAACAUUUUAGAGUGCAAAUCUAAAGAAAUAAAAUUUUUAUUGGAACUU
rnacentral:tRNA from 1 species